UCUCUCCGAACUUUCUCCUCUCUCUCUGUCUCUCUCACCCUCUUUGGUUUGUAACCUCUCAGAUCUGCAACCUUUUAUUCUUCUUCUUCACUCUCUGGUCUCCAAUCCCUCAUUUGGGUUCUGUCCCUCUCUGGUCUACAAUCCUUCCUUGGGUUAGAAACCGAAUAAAGGGAAGGGCCACGUGGAAUCGUUUGAUCAUUCGGCCAAUUGAGAUAAGUAUCCCUACUCCUUGUUCUUUUGUGUUUAUUUUUUGGGAUCUCUAUAGAUUUUCUUGUGCAUUUUCUGCUCGUCUAAACAUGACUUUUGGGUCGAUUGACCAUAGUUGGGGUCAGGUUGAGUUUGGUUUGGAUCUGGGUAAAAAGGUGGUUAGGUCAAGAUGGGCUUAGUGAUCUUGGUGGUUUUUUUUUUGAAAAUUUUUUGAGCCCCCAACCCGUUUUGAAAAUUGGGGAUGUGUUACAAAAAUGGUUGGGCCUUGGGUUUUUAAAGAAAGAGUUAAGCCUGGUUUUAUAUAUAUAUAUAUGUGUAUAAGUUGAGCCCACUGAUGUUACCUUUUAAAACGGGCCAGUGGGUUUUGGGUUAUUUAGAAACUGGGAUGAAGUUUUUUUAAAAGUUUGGGCCUGAGCCCACUGAUGUUAUUUUUAAACGAGCCGGGGGGUUUUGGGUUAUUUAAAUGGGUCGGGGUUUUUUAAAAGUUUGGGUCUGAGCCCACUAAUGUUAUUUUUAAAACAGACCAGGGGUUUUUUAUUAUUUAGAAAAUGGGAUUUUUUUUUUUAAGUUUGGGCCUGAGCCCACUAGUGUUACUUUUGAAACAAGCAGGGGAGUUUUAGGUUAUUUAGAAAAUGGGCUGAGGUCUUUUUAAAAGUUUGGGCCCGAGCCCUUUUGUUUAUUUAGUGGAUAAGGUCCAGGGACCCAGUUUCAAAUGGACCAAGUCCCUAAAAGUUUCGGUCAAGUCAACGGGUCUGGUUCGGGUUACGGGUUAGUCCACGGGUCAAGGUUGGUGGAUCAGAUCUGUGAAUUGGAUCCGAUUUGGAUUUGGUCACUGAAUCGGGUUACUGGAUUGGAUCAUACAUGCAAUAUUGAACAUAGAAAGCCCUUAUAAAUUCGUCACUUACCUCUGAUCUUUAAACUCCUUCACCUCUAAGUUCCCUUUUGACUUUGAGACACGAACUCUAUGUUAGGAACCUGUGAGCAACCAAAAAAAUGUGACACCAAAAUUUUAACAUGGUUCGGUCAAUAUCGACCUACGUCUAUGGAGCACACACCAAAUAUUCACUAUCACCAGAAAAAUUACAAUUCUCUUUCUCUCCCUCUCUUCCUCCCUUCUUCCUCUCUGCUCUCUCCGAGCUUCACACUAUAUUUGUGUCAUUCCUCAGCCCUCUAUUUAUAGGGCUGAUAUUCCAAUCACUAUUUAAUUACAAUUAAACAUAAUCAAUCAAAACAUGGGAAAUUACAAUAAUGAGGUAAAUAGAGAUAAAUUACACUGUGUGAGAUUAAUUGCUCCGCGUUUUCCAACUCAGCUCCUCCUAGCUGUCUCCUGGCUCCAGCUAUAACAAUCUCCCACUUGGAGAUAGAGACGCCUUCUCAAUCAGUAUCAUUAAUAAGUGAUGUGCUCAAAAUAUGUCUUCAGACAUGAAAACCAACUGAAGUUGAACACAACUUCAGCUUCUCUGUAGUUACCAUCUUCUUGUCUACUCGAUCCUGCGGACUAAUCUGAUGGCUGUCAUCUUCACAAUUGGUGUAAAAAUGCUAGUGUAGUCAAUCCCUUCCUUUUGUUCGAAGUCUUUGAAUACCAACCGAGAUUUGUACCUUCUGGAGCCGUCAUGCUCCUCUUCGAUUCUGUACACCCACUUGUUGUGAAGGCCUUUGGGCAACUUCCAUGUUCUGUUGGAGGCGAGGGACUUCAUCUCAUCCUUCAUCGUAAGCUCCCACUUGCUCGUAUCUGCCACCUGACAUGCUUCAUCGUAGCAUCGGGCUCUCCUCCAUUUGUAGGAAGUAAGUAAUCAAUAUACCUUUUGUUUGGUAUAUGAGACCGAGUAUAUCUCCUAAGCUCUGGAGUUGGAGUAGGAGACAGUGGUGCGACGAUCUGCUCCACUGGUUCCUCCACCUGAGGAUUCUCGGCAUUCUACUGUUGUGUCCUAACAUACUUCUUUGGGGCACGAGUGUUUAUCUGGAAACUGACCCUCUUCUAUUUCCUGACUAUACAAUCCUCACAUAUGUCAAUCUGCACUGACUAUAGACCACUCAAUUUUUCUUUUAAGUGCAUCACCCUAAGUCCCUUCUUGCUCAUGUGACCAAGUCAUUGACGACAGAUGUUGCUGUCGUCAUUUCUUGCAGUAACUGAAAUAGACAUGGAGGUAUUGGAGGUUAGAAAAAGUGUUCCGCUUUUCUUACCUCGCGCAAACUCUAGUACACCCUUUGAAACUUUCCAUUCAUCGCCAAUGAAUUUUAUCGUGUAUCUCUCAUCUGCCAACUGACCAACUGAGAUCAAAUUCAUUCUCAGGUCUGGAAUAUACCUGACAUCCUUCAGCUUCCAUACUGACCCGUUUAUUUUGAUCUUCACAACUCCCUUACCGGUUACGUCGCAAGGUUGAUCGUUGCCAAGGUACACCUUACCAAAAUUACCUGGUGUGUACUCCUUUACGCAAUCUCUGUAGCAUGUGACAUGAAAUGAGGCCCCGGAGUCUAUGACCCAAGACUCCUACUUGCUUUCCAAAUAGCAGAUCAACAUCACAUCAUUUAUAGAAGCAAUAUUUGCUUCUGUUUUUGCCAUUGUCACAUAUUCUUUCUUCUAAUUCCUGCAUUGGUUCUUGUAAGGACCAACUUUUCCACAGUUCCAGCACUCAAUAAAUUUUGUGCUAUGGGAACUUGUGUCUUGAGUACCUUUGGGAUUUCUGGAUAUAGACCGCCUGGGUUUAUAUCUACUGCAGUUGUUUGAUUGUCCAUGCCUGUUUCCUCUGCCUCGACUCUCCAUGUUCAAGGUUGAACUCGAAGUAGAGCCAUGGUUCGACUGCAUUCUUAAUUCCUCCAUCAAAAUCAUGUUGAUGACUUCAUCGUAUACAAGCUUCGAUUUUCUUGCGGAGCUACUGCUGGCAGUAACGACACCAUUCUAACUUUUAGGCAACUGACUGAGAAUCAGUAAGGCCCGAAUCUCAUCAUCAAAUGUUAUGCCGACUGAGGUGAGUUGAUCAGACAACUCAUUGAAGUUAUUCAAAUGCCUACUGAAACUUUCACCUGCAAACAUGCUCAUCGUAAAUAGUCUUUUCAUGAGAUGUACCUUGUUUGCGGCUGAAGGCUGCUCGUACAUAUUAGAAAGCGCAUCCAUUAGAGACUUUGUGGAUGUUAUAUGCUUAUUAUUGAAUGUCACAGAUUUCGACAACGUCAUUCUGAUGGUUCCGAGGCUUUUCGAUCAAGCAACUCCCACUCGUCCUCGUUCAUGGAUGCUAGCUUACCCUUUAACGGUAAGUGCAAUUCCUUCCCAAACAAAUAAUCUUCUAUUUGCAUCUUCCAGAAACCGAAAUUAUUUUCAUUGAACAUUUCGAUUUUUGAACUGUUUUCAUUUGACAUCUCAAUUCACUGAUUUUUUGAGAAGGAGUUAGCUCAAAUGGAUAGCGCGGUUGGAUUCGGAACGAUUGAAAACCCUAUGAAUGGUUCAAGUCGCUCGAAAAAACAGACCAAAAAUAACUCCAAAAAGCUCAGUCAAAGUUUGGUCAAACUUUGUCAACUCCGCUGAUGUGGCGGGAUGCCGUGUCACGAUGACGUGGUAGUGGGGCUCACUUGCUGAUGUGGCAGUGGGUCCACCCGCUAACGUGGUAGUGGGGCCCACUCGCUGACAUGGCACCUGGUUGGAUGACGUGGCACUCUGAGGGCGACUGACUCAGUGAUGUUGACGUGGCCGAGUCUAUGCCUGCAGGUUGGAUUCGGUUCUCGCAUAUCAGGUCUUAGGUUGAUCCGGUAUGAGUCAGAGUCCGGGUAGGGUCGGGUUCCCUCCGGGUCAGGUCGAGGCUGACCGGGUGAGGACGAUGCGUACAACGCGUGCGGCGCGUGAGGGAGCUGGUCACUGGCGCGUGGCAAGGCGUCUUGCUCUGGCAAGGCGCGUGAGCCUCUGUAUGAACUCUAUUUGAGCUCCAGCUUGCACGGUUCUCUUUAUCUCGGCGAGCUGAAUGCGAUGGUGGACUCAAAACGUAGUUUUGAUUCACUGGAUAGAGCUCUAAUUUCGGGAUCACUUCCGAUCUGGCUUUUCUGCUCCAACCGCUCUCUCAUACCACUUGUUAGGAACCUGUGAGCAUCCAGAUCAAAGUGACACUAAAGAUUUAACGUGGUUUGGUCAAUAUCGACCUACGUCCAUGGAGCACACACCAAAUAUUCACUAUCGCCAAAAAAAUUACAAUUCUCUCUCUCUCUCCCUCUCUUCCUCCUUUCUUCCUCUCUGCUCUCUCUGAGGUUCUCACUAUAUUUGUGUCAUUCCUUAGCCCUCUAUUUAUAGGGCUAAUCUUCCAAUCACUAUUUAAUUACAAUUUAAACAUAAUCAAUCAAAACAUAGGAAGUUACAAUCAUGAGGUAAAUAGAGAUAAAUUGCACCGCGUGAGAUUAAUUGCAUCGCGUUUUCCAACUCAGCUCCUCCUAGCCGUCUCUUGGCUCCAGCUAUAACACUUUGAUCUCUGAGCUUUCUUAUUAACUGCUCCCCUGUAUGAACUCCUUCACCGUGUGAAUGCACCACCAAAGGUCCUUACCACUAUUCGAACACCUUUGUGCCUCCCUCAAUGUGAUAUUCUUAUUGAACUUCUCACAAUAAUUCACACACUAUGUUUGCUAUGUGAAUAUUGUCAAAACACACUCUCUAUGAUCCUCGCACUGCAUUUCUCACACACUAUGUUGUCUCUGUGCUUUGAUCUACGAAGGUUCCUCCCUAUUUAUAGGGUUGGGGGUCUCAGACUGUAUAAGAAACAAAUUAAUCUCACGAAUCCUCAAAUUAAUUAAGAGAAUUAUUUCGAUCAAAUCUUGCAAUUUUUUUUCCAAAUUAAUUCAUAGAAUCAUAGUAUCAAUCUUCCUGAUUAUUUUCUUAAAAUUUUUUUCUCUAAUGGCUAAUUUUUUUUUUUGAAUUGGUGUGCAGAUGCUAGUCAUGGGGUUCAUAUAGAUUCAUCGAAUAUUCCUUGAAGCUAUUGAAGAUUUUCCUUUUGACCCCUAUGUUUUGUGUAUCUGUUACUCCCCGUAAUUCCCCCAAUGUAUUUUGUAUUCCUCAUGUAUCUCGUUGCGUUCGUACUUUCUUGUAUUUUCAUGUAUAUUCGUAUAAACAAUGAAUAAAAGAAAGUUUCCCAAA